ACGGACGUAGCUCAAUGGUAGAGCGCUAGGUUGUGGUCCUGGUGGUUGCCGGUUCGAAUCCGGUCGUCCGUCCCA
rnacentral:tRNA from 1 species